GCAGUCGAGCGGACCUUUUAAAGCUUGCUUUUGAAAGGUCAGCGGCGGACGGGUGAGUAACACGUGGGCAACCUGCCUGUAAGACUGGGAUAACUUCGGGAAACCGGAGCUAAUACCGGAUAAUAUAAGGAACCUCCUGGUUCUUUAUUGAAAGAUGGUUUCGGCUAUCACUUACAGAUGGGCCCGCGGCGCAUUAGCUAGUUGGUGAGGUAAUGGCUCACCAAGGCGACGAUGCGUAGCCGACCUGAGAGGGUGAUCGGCCACACUGGGACUGAGACACGGCCCAGACUCCUACGGGAGGCAGCAGUAGGGAAUCUUCCACAAUGGACGAAAGUCUGAUGGAGCAACGCCGCGUGAGCGAUGAAGGCCUUCGGGUCGUAAAGCUCUGUUGUUAGGGAAGAACAAGUGCGAGAGUAACUGCUCGCACCUUGACGGUACCUAACCAGAAAGCCACGGCUAACUACGUGCCAGCAGCCGCGGUAAUACGUAGGUGGCAAGCGUUGUCCGGAAUUAUUGGGCGUAAAGCGCGCGCAGGUGGUCCUUUAAGUCUGAUGUGAAAGCCCACGGCUCAACCGUGGAGGGUCAUUGGAAA
rnacentral:rRNA from 1 species